ACUGCGCUUCGGCGCACUGUUCGACAUUCACGCCAACUGCAUUGGAAUGCAAUGGGAAGCGCGGUGAGAUUCCGCCACUGCCCCGCAACUGUAAUCGCGCUCCUCCGAUGCAUUGAGGAGACGCGGAGCUUCGAGGCGCCGGUCGUCACUGCGAACAGCGGGAAGGCGAGGUGCGUGGCAUUACCGAGGCCCUGCGCAAGCGCGUAAGUCAGGAGACCGAUUCCGGUGCUGACAGCAAACC
rfam:Terriglobus roseus DSM 18391, complete genome.